AGAGUUUGAUCCUGGCUCAGAUUGAACGCUGGCGGCAGGCCUAACACAUGCAAGUCGAGCGGUAGAGAGAAGCUUGCUUCUCUUGAGAGCGGCGGACGGGUGAGUAAUGCCUAGGAAUCUGCCUGGUAGUGGGGGAUAACGUUCGGAAACGGACGCUAAUACCGCAUACGUCCUACGGGAGAAAGCAGGGGACCUUCGGGCCUUGCGCUAUCAGAUGAGCCUAGGUCGGAUUAGCUAGUUGGUGAGGUAAUGGCUCACCAAGGCGACGAUCCGUAACUGGUCUGAGAGGAUGAUCAGUCACACUGGAACUGAGACACGGUCCAGACUCCUACGGGAGGCAGCAGUGGGGAAUAUUGGACAAUGGGCGAAAGCCUGAUCCAGCCAUGCCGCGUGUGUGAAGAAGGUCUUCGGAUUGUAAAGCACUUUAAGUUGGGAGGAAGGGCAGUAAAUUAAUACUUUGCUGUUUUGACGUUACCGACAGAAUAAGCACCGGCUAACUCUGUGCCAGCAGCCGCGGUAAUACAGAGGGUGCAAGCGUUAAUCGGAAUUACUGGGCGUAAAGCGCGCGUAGGUGGUUUGUUAAGUUGGAUGUGAAAUCCCCGGGCUCAACCUGGGAACUGCAUUCAAAACUGACUGACUAGAGUAUGGUAGAGGGUGGUGGAAUUUCCUGUGUAGCGGUGAAAUGCGUAGAUAUAGGAAGGAACACCAGUGGCGAAGGCGACCACCUGGACUAAUACUGACACUGAGGUGCGAAAGCGUGGGGGGCAAACAGGAUUAGAUACCCUGGUAGUCCACGCCGUAAACGAUGUCAACUAGCCGUUGGAAGCCUUGAGCUUUUAGUGGCGCAGCUAACGCAUUAAGUUGACCGCCUGGGGAGUACGGCCGCAAGGUUAAAACUCAAAUGAAUUGACGGGGGCCCGCACAAGCGGUGGAGCAUGUGGUUUAAUUCGAAGCAACGCGAAGAACCUUACCAGGCCUUGACAUCCAAUGAACUUUCUAGAGAUAGAUUGGUGCCUUCGGGAACAUUGAGACAGGUGCUGCAUGGCUGUCGUCAGCUCGUGUCGUGAGAUGUUGGGUUAAGUCCCGUAACGAGCGCAACCCUUGUCCUUAGUUACCAGCACGUCAUGGUGGGCACUCUAAGGAGACUGCCGGUGACAAACCGGAGGAAGGUGGGGAUGACGUCAAGUCAUCAUGGCCCUUACGGCCUGGGCUACACACGUGCUACAAUGGUCGGUACAGAGGGUUGCCAAGCCGCGAGGUGGAGCUAAUCCCACAAAACCGAUCGUAGUCCGGAUCGCAGUCUGCAACUCGACUGCGUGAAGUCGGAAUCGCUAGUAAUCGCGAAUCAGAAUGUCGCGGUGAAUACGUUCCCGGGCCUUGUACUCACCGCCCGUC
rnacentral:rRNA from 1 species